AGCCUUGUGGUGUAACGCACACAGGGGUGCAAAUCCUGAGGGGCAGGUGAGAGUCUGCCGGGGCUU
rnacentral:tRNA from 1 species